UACGGGGGGGGCAAGCGUUGUUCGGAAUUACUGGGCGUAAAGGGCUCGUAGGCGGCCAACUAAGUCAGACGUGAAAUCCCUCGGCUUAACCGGGGAACUGCGUCUGAUACUGGAUGGCUUGAGUUUGGGAGAGGGAUGCGGAAUUCCAGGUGUAGCGGUGAAAUGCGUAGAUAUCUGGAGGAACAACGGUGGCGAAGGCGGCAUCCUGGACCAACACUGAAGCUGAGUGAGCGAAAGCCAGGGGAGCAAACGGG
rnacentral:rRNA from 1 species